CUGGUAUCAGAGCAGCGUUCUUGGCGUCUCGCUGCCCUUUCACAGCCAUCCAUCAACCCUCCACAGCCGCCCAAAGCAAUUUCCACAAUUGCUUAAAAGAUCGUCACCAAAUUCCAUCGUCAUCUCCACCACCGCAGAUCAUCCUUUGAUCUCCCCGUGAAUUGCAACAGGUUCUGGUUUCUUACCUUACUGCUGCUGCAAUUUAGUUAUCUUAUUCGAAAAUCCAAAAAAAAAAAAAUUGUUCCAAAAUUGCUGCAUAAACUUUUCGUCGCAAAGUUUUCAUCUCUACGACGAAAGAUACAUUGCAAAAUUCCAAUCGCAUAGCAUAGAUUGUUUGAUCUUGCUACUAUAUUUUUUCUAUCCAAAUCUCUAUGAAAUUUUUAUGACAGCUUUGACACUUCCUAAUAGCAGAUUUUCCUUUGGUUUUGUCAAAAAAUUCUCAAUAUAAACCGUUGAUCUUUUACGUCUAAUCUGCUAUACUUGAAAAUCUGCACCGUAAAAUUUCAGCCGCAUAGCACUAUUUGUUUGAUCUUGAUACUAUGUUUUUUCUGUCCAAAUCUCUACGAAAUUUUUAUGAUUGCUUUGAAACUUCCUAACAGUGGAUUUCCCUUUGGUUUCGUCGAAAAAUUCUCAAUAUAAACCACUGAUCUUUUACGUCCAAUCUGCUACACUUGAAAAUCUAUGCUGCAGAAAAUUUCAGCCGCAUAUUGU
rnacentral:lncRNA from 1 species